UUUUCCUCAGGAUAGCUGGCUCAUGAGAUUCAGUCUCAUCCGCUAAAGCUAAUGAUUAGAGGCCUUGCGGCCGAAAUGACCUCAACCUAUUCUCAAGCUUUAACUGGGUGAGAAGUCUGGCUUUUCUGUACUUUUCAGAAAAGAAAACUCUGUCU
rnacentral:ncRNA from 1 species